GACGAACGCUGGCGGCGUGCCUAACACAUGCAAGUCGAGGGGUGAUUUCGGUCAUCACUGGCGCACGGGUGAGUAACGCGUAGAUCAUCUGCCCCUAUCACUGACAUAACAGUUCUAACGGACUGCUAAUAUCAGAUGAGGUGAGCAAUCAUCAAAGUUUCGACGGAUAGGGAUGAGUCUGCGUCUGAUUAGGUAGUUGGUGAGGUAACGGCUCACCAAGCCGACGAUCAGUAACUGGUCUGAGAGGACGAACAGUCACACUGGAACUGAGACACGGUCCAGACUCCUACGGGAGGCAGCAGUGAGGAAUAUUGCACAAUGGGAGGAAUCCUGAUGCAGCGACGCCGCGUGCGGGAUGAAGGGGCUUAGCCUCGUAAACCGCUGUCGGAGGGGACGAAUGGUACAUUUUGAUGUACUGAGACGGUACCCUCAAAGGAAGGAUCGGCUAACUACGUGCCAGCAG
rnacentral:rRNA from 1 species